rnacentral:rRNA from 1 species
GAUGAACGCUGGCGGCGUGCCUAAUACAUGCGAGUCGAGCGAACAGACGAGGAGCUUGCUCCUCUGACGUUAGCGGCGGACGGGUGAGUAACACGUGGAUAACCUACCUAUAAGACUGGGAUAACUUCGGGAAACCGGAGCUAAUACCGGAUAAUAUAUUGAACCGCAUGGUUCAAUAGUGAAAGACGGUUUUGCUGUCACUUAUAGAUGGAUCCGCGCCGCAUUAGCUAGUUGGUAAGGUAACGGCUUACCAAGGCAACGAUGCGUAGCCGACCUGAGAGGGUGAUCGGCCACACUGGAACUGAGACACGGUCCAGACUCCUACGGGAGGCAGCAGUAGGGAAUCGUCCGCAAUGGGCGAAAGCUUGACGGAGCAACGCCGCGUGAGUGAUGAAGGUCUUCGGAUCGUAAAACUCUGUUAUUAGGGAAGAACAAAUGUGUAAGUAACUAUGCACGUCUUGACGGUACCUAAUCAGAAAGCCACGGCUAACUAC